rfam:Schistocephalus solidus strain NST_G2 genome assembly, scaffold: SSLN_scaffold0007720
GGCCUCGUAGCUCAGUUGGUUAGUGCAUUAGAUGUACUGGCGUGGAUUCAAAUCCCACCGAGGCCG